GAUGAACGCUGGCGGCGUGCCUAACACAUGCAAGUCGAACGGACAGGCCCUGCUUUUGUGCCGUGCUCGAGUGGCGAACGGGUGAGUAACACGUGAGUAACCUGCCCUUGACUUUGGGAUAACUUCAGGAAACUGGGGCUAUUACCCGAUAGGAGCUCCUGCUGCAUGUUGGUGGUUGGAAAGUUUCGGCGGUUGGGGAUGGACUCGCGGCUUAUCGGCUUGGUGGUGGGGUAGUGGCUUACCAAGGCUUUGACGGGUAGCCGGCCUGGGAGGGGGGCCGGGGGCAAGGGGACUGAGGGACGGCCCAGACGCGUACGGGACGCAGCAGGGGGGAGUAUUACACAGUGGGCGGAAGCCAGAUACAGCGACGCCGCGUGCGGGAUAACGGCCUUCGGGUUGUAAACCGCUUUGGCCUGUGACGAAGAGUGAGUGACGGUAAUGGGUAAAGAAGCACCGGCUAACUACGUG
rnacentral:rRNA from 1 species